rnacentral:rRNA from 1 species
UACGUAGGAGGCAAGCGUUGUCCGGAAUUACUGGGCGUAAAGCGCGUGUAGGUGGUGGGACAAGUCUGCUGUGAAAGCGCCUGGCUUAACCGGGCGAGGUCGGCGGAAACUGUCCGACUCGAGGACGGUAGAGGGGGGGUGGAAUUCCCGGUGUAGUGGUGAAAUGCGUAGAGAUCGGGAGGAACACCUGUGGCGAAGGCGGCCCCCUGGGCCGGCCCUGACACUGAGACGCGAAGGCGUGGGGGAGCGAACGGG